rnacentral:rRNA from 1 species
UACAGAGAGUGCAAGCGUUAAUCGGAAUUACUGGGCGUAAAGCGCACGUAGGUGGAUAUCUAAGUCGAAUGUGAAAGCCCCGGGCUUAACCUGGGAAUUGCAUCCGAUACUGGGUGUCUAGAGUAUGGUAGAGGGAAAUGGAAUUUCCGGUGUAGCGGUGAAAUGCGUAGAUAUCGGAAAGAACACCAGUGGCGAAGGCGGCUUCCUGGACCAAUACUGACACUGAGGUGCGAAAGCGUGGGGAGCAAACAGG